rnacentral:rRNA from 1 species
GCUGAAAGCGGGCGACCGUGAGGGUAAGAACGGAGGGGGCGGGCGUUGUUCGGAAUUGCGGGUCGUGAAGGGCGCGCAGGCGGCGCAAGGAGUCCGAUGUGAAAGCCCCGGGCUCAACCUGGGGAUGGCAUUUGAUACUCGUGGGCUGGAGUACGGGAGAGGGGAGUGGAAUUCCCAGUGUAGAGGUGAAAUGCGUAGAUAUUGGGAAGAACACCGGUGGCGAAGGCGGCUCUCUGGACCGUAACUGACGCUGAGGCGCGAAAGCGUGGGGAGCAAACAGGAUUAGAUACCCCUGUAGUC